rnacentral:rRNA from 1 species
UGGGGAAUUUUGGACAAUGGGCGAAAGCCUGAUCCAGCAAUGCCGCGUGUAGGAUGAAGGCCCUCGGGUUGUAAACUACUUUUGUACGGAACGAAAAGCUCUCUUCUAAUAAAGGAGAGUGAUGGCGGUACCGUAAGAAUAAGCACCGGCUAACUACGUGCCAGCAGCCGCGGUAAUACGUAGGGUGCGAGCGUUAAUCGGAAUUACUGGGCGUAAAGCGUGCGCAGGCGGUUAUGUAAGACAGAGGUGAAAUCCCCGGGCUCAACCUGGGAACGGCCUUUGUGACUGCAUAGCUAGAGUACGGUAGAGGGGGAUGGAAUUCCGCGUGUAGCAGUGAAAUGCGUAGAUAUGCGGAGGAAUACCGAUGGCGAAGGCAAUCCCCUGGACCUGUACUGACGCUCAUGCACGAAAGCGUGGGGAGCAAACG